rnacentral:rRNA from 1 species
UACAGAGGUCUCAAGCGUUGUUCGGAUUCAUUGGGCGUAAAGGGUGCGUAGGCGGCGCGGUAAGUCGGGUGUGAAAUCUCGGAGCUUAACUCCGAAAACUGCAUUCGAUACUGCCGUGCUUGAGGACUGGAGAGGAGACUGGAAUUUACGGUGUAGCGGUGAAAUGCGUAGAUAUCGUAAGGAAGACCAGUGGCGAAGGCGGGGUCUCUGGACAGUUCCUGACGCUGAGGCACGAAGGUCAGGGGAGCAAAACGGG